GUUUCCUCCAUGAAAACGGAUAUACAAAAAUGUUACAUAUGGUAUCUUGUUUGAUUUUGAUAAC
rfam:Pteropus alecto contig17975, whole genome shotgun sequence.